AUACGUAGGGUGCGAGCGUUGUCCGGAAUUACUGGGCGUAAAGAGCUCGUAGGUGGUUUGUCGCGUCGUCUGUGAAAUUCCGGGGCUUAACUCCGGGCGUGCAGGCGAUACGGGCAUAACUUGAGUACUGUAGGGGAGACUGGAAUUCCUGGUGUAGCGGUGCAAUGCGCAGAUAUCAGGAGGAACACCGGUGGCGAAGGCGGGUCUCUGGGCAGUAACUGACGCUGAGGAGCGAAAGCAUGGGUAGCGAACAGGAUUAGAUACCCUGGUAGUCCAUGCCGUAAACGGUGGGCGCUAGGUGUAGGGGUCUUCCACGACUUCUGUGCCGUAGCUAACGCAUUAAGCGCCCCGCCUGGGGAGUACGGCCGCAAGGCUAAAACUCAAAUGAAUUGGCGGGG
rnacentral:rRNA from 1 species